rnacentral:lncRNA from 1 species
UGGGGGGUCUAGUGAUGAAAAUUAAAGUUUGGGAGGUUUGAGUGUGGGAUUGAAAAGUAGGAAGAAGACUAGUGAAGUCAACGCAAAGCAAAAUUAAAGUUACCGAGAAAGAGAGAGAGUCACGGCAGAAUUGGUGUGGUUAUAAAAGGAGAAAAGCCAGUAAGAGACGUCAAUAAUUCAGUUACAGUCUAAAGUUUAGAAGGAGUGAAUGUAUAGAUUAGGUUAAAAUUAAUGAGAAGUGGGUAAGUAGUUAACUUCGUUAAAUGAGUUGCUUUCACUUAUAAAUGGCAACGCACCCUCUUUUGGGCUUUGGCUUCGGUUGUUGUGUUUCAUUUAUUUCUUUGUUAUAUCCAUUGCCUAUGCUCACUUUACUUACGUUUAUAAUCAACUAUCUCGCUAAAGGGGGUUACGUUUAAGUUCUGUCCACGUACUUCAUUAAAUUUUUGGUUUUUAAGAUUCGUUCAAUAAAGAAAACUUGAAGGAGAUGAUAGUGGAGAUACAAUAAUAGUGUUUUGCUUUGCCGAAGGCAAGAUUUUUUUCAUUAUAAAAAACGAAGAGACAGUAUAAUUGAUGCUCAGUUAGGGCGACUUGGUCAUAAUACUGGGAGUGCUAGAAAAGUUGCUAGUAUUGAUGUAAAUCAAUAUUAUAAUCGAUGUUUUGAGUAUGAUAUAUACAAUAUGGAUUUGGAUUUAUUUUGUUGUCGCACGACUCGCACCAUAAGAGCGGUCAUCGCUAGACCGGAUGACACUAGCACUCUUAACUCUCAGAGGUGGCCCUUGAGUUUAUUUGCUUUUGGUAUUAUUUAGUUUUUCUAAAAAUUGUCGUGUUUAUUUGGUAGAUUGCUUUGAUAUAAAUUUACGAAAUAUUUGGAGAAUGGGCUAUAGGAGAGUGAACUGUUAACUUGG